CUGCGCUUUAAGGUGCUCUUUCCCCCGGCUAUAAUAUCGCUUUAAUUAGAAGUAUCCCACCCUGUCCUCAUCAACCCGCCACCAGCUGUCACUUUACACCCGAGGAGAAGGAGCACCUUAGCGGAAAGGUGGAUGGAGCUCCAACAUCGGCAGUGAUGUCAGUCCUGGCUCUAAACCUCACAUACACUUAUGUUCCUGGGCCGAUGCCUACAGUCUCUGCUCUCCGCAAGCCUGUCCAAAUGUAGCAGCCUCAGCCUACACCUCUGCUCAUCUCAAACGCCACCUGUGAAGACUUCAUGAGCAUCGUCAGCCAGUCCACACUACUCAGAUAGAGUUCCUCAGAGAGAUGGAGCGGCUGAUCUUCUCCCUGCUGGUGCUGGCUGUGUCUGCAUCGGGUCAGCUGUGCCCCAAGCGUUGUAUGUGCCAGAAUCUGUCACCAUCUCUGGCUAUACUCUGCGCCAAGACCGGCCUGCUUUUCGUGCCAACAGUCAUCGAUCGGCGUACGGUGGAGCUGCGCCUUACCGAGAACUUCAUCACGGCGGUAAGGAGGAGGGACUUUGCAAAUAUGACCAGUCUCCUCCAUCUGACGCUCUCCCGCAACACCAUCAGCCAAAUUAUGCCUUACACGUUUGCUGACCUCAAGCGGCUGCGGGCACUGCACCUGGACAGCAACCGCCUGAGUGUCAUCGUGGACGACCACUUCCGAGGACUCACCAAUCUGAGGCACCUUAUCCUAGCCAACAAUCAACUGCACAGCAUCUCCCCACAUGCUUUUGAUGACUUUUUGGGGACUCUAGAGGACCUUGAUCUUUCGUACAAUAACCUGGUGGACAUACCGUGGGAGACUAUUGGACGGCUCACCAAUGUGAAUACUCUCAAUAUGGACCAUAACCUCAUAGAGCAUGUCCCCUUAGGAGUCUUCUCAAACCUACACAAACUAGCCCGUCUAGACAUGACAUCCAAUAAGCUAAAGAAAAUACCCCCUGAUCCUUUGUUUCUUAGGAUACCAGUUUAUGCCAAGUCAAAAGGGUCACCUCUUUCCUCUCUCGUCCUGAGCUUUGGAGGAAACCCACUCCAUUGCAACUGCGAGCUACUUUGGCUGAGAAGGGUAACGCGAGAGGAUGACCUUGAAACCUGCGCCUCACCUCCUGAUCUUACAGCAAAAUACUUCUGGACCAUCCCAGAGGAGGAGUUUAUCUGUGAUCCUCCUGUGAUUACAAGGAAAUCUCCGAAAACCUUCAUCAUGGAGGGCCAGCCCACCAGCUUGAAAUGCAAGGCCAAUGGGGACCCAGACCCUGACAUUCACUGGAUCACUCCAGAGGGUCGUCUAAUCGCCAACACUUCUCGAACUUUAAGCUUUAGCAAUGGGAGCUUGGAGAUCAACAUCACCUCCCUGAAGGACACAGGAGUCUUCACCUGCAUUGCUUCUAAUGCCGCAGGGGAGUCUACUGGCACAGUGGAGCUGGUGGUCAAUCCACUGCCACACUUAGCUAACAGCACUAACCGGAUCCGUGAACCUGAUCCAGGACCAUCUGAUAUUCUUACCUCUGCCAAGUCAACUUCUUCGGCAAGCAAUGAGACCAGGACUCUGGAGAGGAAGUUAGUUCUUGCUGAGCUUACAGCUAAUUCUGCACUCAUCAGGUGGCCUUCACAACAACAUUUCCCUGGAAUCAGGAUGUAUCAGAUUCAGUACAACAGCUCAGUGGAUGAUACCUUGGUCUACAGAAUGAUUCCCUCCUCGAGUUAUGACUUCCUGGUGCGAGACCUGGUAUCCAGUCGGGAGUAUGAUCUGUGCGUGUUGGCCAUCUAUGAUGAUGGCAUGACCUCGCUGACUGCCACGCGGCAGGUGGGCUGCCUCACAUUUGUCACGGAGACAGAAUACAGCCAGUGCCAGUCUCUGCGCAGCCAUUUCCUGGGCGGCACCAUGAUCAUCAUCAUCGGAGGCAUCAUUGUGGCUUCUGUCCUCGUUUUCAUCAUCAUCCUAAUGAUCCGAUAUAAAGUCUACAGCCAUUAUGGGGCAGAUUCCGCAAAGGGAACCACCAUGAUGAAUGUACGCUCACAGACGAAUGGGGGCCAAGCAGCGGGGCAUGUCCUGCGCUCGAGCUCCAAAAUUAUAGAGGGGCAGGAGGCCCCAGGAGCAAGUUUAGUAGGGGCCUCAGGUGCUGCUACUAGUUUAAAAGACUCCACAGCCAUGAUGCUAGUCACAGACUCUGCAAUGACCUCAGAUGACAUAGUAUCCCCUACUCAAAGGCACCAUCCCAGGACUUGUAUAGAGCUCAAGAGACGGCCUUCGCUGUCCCCUAAAGAGGGGACAAGCAUAGAGAUGCCAGAAGAUACGGCUAGCCCGCAGGUCAGCGAUGAGAAGAAGGUUCAACGAGAUUGGAGUGACUUUAAAAUUUGAUGACUCCUUUCACUGUCUCUCAAGAGGCAGCCAUCAACCCUAAAGAAGUGCACCAGGUCAUCAGAUUAUAGGGAAGAAUAUGGAAUAAUUUGUCCAAACCCCUGCUGGACUUUCUCCCCUGAGUUUUUCACCCAUCACACUUUAUUCCAAGGAUUAUCCAACCGUUUCCUACCAGGACAUAUUUGAGGACUCAAUCCACUACUGCAUCGGAUGGAACGAAUCAUAUAUUUCUUCUCCAUUACUGGCUUUUGAAACAUAUUGCCUUUCAUACCCCUGUGGCCAGGACUGUCUAUCUGUUUGCAGCCAACCACAGUAUGCAUUGUUUACUGGAUGGUCUGGGUUCAAGAAUGGCACUUCGCUUGGAGAAUAUUCAUCCUCCUCCACCCAUUCAAUCAUGCAAACUGCACCAGUGAGAGAAAAUUCACAUGGGACAAAGUAAACGGGAUGUUUGUGCUUACGCACUUCCAUCAUUCUGCCUUCCUCCGGCUUUGCAGUAUCAGUCACGACCCAUCCAACCAGUGAGAACUGAAACUCAAAGGACUCACACCAACAAACAGACAGCGGCAAGCAGUCCCACUUGGGAGCACAA